UACGUAGGGUGCGAGCGUUUGUCCGGAAUUAUUGGGCGUAAAGAGCUUGUAGGCGGUCUGUCGCGUCUGCUGUGAAAAUCCGGGGCUCAACCCCGGACUUGCAGUGGGUACGGGCAGACUAGAGUGUGGUAGGGGAGACUGGAAUUCCUGGGUGUAGCGGUGAAAUGCGCAGAUAUCAGGAGGAACACCGAUGGCGAAGGCAGGUCUCUGGGCCACUACUGACGCUGAGAAGCGAAAGCAUGGGGGAGCGAACAGGA
rnacentral:rRNA from 1 species